rnacentral:sRNA from 1 species
GACCAUCAGGUGGUCUAGCGUGCAAGGGA